CCGAAAACAACCAUGGGCAGAUGGGAAAAGAGAACCUGACCAGCUAAUGGAGGGUCAAGUGCAGGAAGUUCCCCUGAGAAGACUCGCAGCUUCGUUUUGCCUCAGAACUGCCAGCCAGGCUCCACGCCCUGACACACGGAUUGGGGACAAAGGUGAGCCUGGCUCCUCGCCAAGCCACCAGCACCAGGCAGCCCCUGGGACGAGUUCUUCCGACCCCCACCCUCAGCAUCUUUGGGCCGCUGCGCUGUGAAAAUCAAAAAAAGAGACUGG
rnacentral:lncRNA from 1 species